rnacentral:rRNA from 1 species
UGCAAGUCGAACGAUGAAGCCCAGCUUGCUGGGUGGAUUAGUGGCGAACGGGUGAGUAACACGUGAGUAACCUGCCCUUAACUCUGGGAUAAGCCUGGGAAACUGGGUCUAAUACCGGAUAGGAGCGUCCACCGCAUGGUGGGUGUUGGAAAGAUUUAUCGGUUUUGGAUGGACUCGCGGCCUAUCAGCUUGUUGGUGAGGUAAUGGCUCACCAAGGCGACGACGGGUAGCCGGCCUGAGAGGGUGACCGGCCACACUGGGACUGAGACACGGCCCAGACUCCUACGGGAGGCAGCAGUGGGGAAUAUUGCACAAUGGGCGCAAGCCUGAUGCAGCGACGCCGCGUGAGGGAUGACGGCCUUCGGGUUGUAAACCUCUUUCAGUAGGGAAGAAGCGAAAGUGACGGUACCUGCAGAAGAAGCACCGGCUAACUACGUGCCAGCAGCCGCGGUAAUACGUAGGGUGCGAGCGUUAUCCGGAAUUAUUGGGCGUAAAGAGC